CUCAUCAGAAAACGUUCAGUGGCAACGUUGGUCCACUUGGAACGACGUUACCAUCUCACAAUCUGGCCUCUCAGAGUGUGAGAUGGUAACAUUUUGUCAGCCCAUUGUUUUGCAUUGGCGUGUUCUCACGUCACGUGACUCACAAGCUCCCGUCUGCGGAGAGGAAAACAUGGCGGAUAUUCCUUGUUCUCUCAGAUAAAAAUAUAGUUUUGUAACUUAGUUUGGGCAUAAAAAUACAUUCUGACACCAUUUCUAGCGAGAAAUGUGCUCUUUGCUUCCACAGUCUUCAGCCAGUUCGUGCUUAUGAUAAAUAUUUUAAUAGUUAUCGCGAAUGUUUUUAUCGUUGCUAUGAGGGUUGCUAUGACGCUGCCAUGCCAGCACGGCGCAGCGUGCUGUUAAAAUCACCGUCCCUGCGUGGUGUCCCUCAGUGAUCGUGAAUGUUAUUCACGUUAUAUAAUAUUAAUAUUUGAGGCUAGAUUACACCUCUAAUGCGAAGGAUCCUGCGAGACCGUUCAUCCCGAAGGGGGACCGACUGCGCCACGGACGGACCAGGCGAGCGGAACUGACGUGUGGCUUUUAGUAAACAUCCGGUUCUUUAACUCGGGGCUGCGUAGUAACCACCGAGCGCUGGGAAGACAAACGAUGUCAUCUUCCUUCUGUCAGGACGAUCCAAGUGAAGGUACAGGAGUUUCAUUAACGUCAAUAACUUGGACCGAACACUUUGUUUUGCUUGAUGAAGAGCAGGAAGGGCAGCCUGGAGAGAAAGAGAAGCCGGGUUGAGCCCACUACCAUCAUCCACGUACCACGAGGAAGAUGCGGGAGAGAAAUGAUCCUACCAUUAAAGAGACUGUGAAAAGAGCGUUGCGAACAUCACCAAUCUACAGGAAGACACAGUCCAGUAAUGGGUGUCAGAAGUUCAGUAGUGAAUGACAGGAAGGACUGAUGCAUGUACUGAGACGGGACGUGAGGGCCUACUCUGCGUGCUCAGAGUUCAAGCCCAGCAGGGUGCAGCGGGCCUGACAUAUUCCGGAACAGCAGCACAGUCUUUGGAUGACUCCUCUGAAGAUGAAAACAUGGCGAGGUACUUCUCCACUGAUGAAGAACUGUGAGGGCUGUGAUUAGCUACACUCUCUUGCUACAAGGCUACUCUUGCUACUCCCUGGCAGCCUUAGGAAGGCAUUAGCUUGCUGUUGGGUAGCUUCCCUGGAAGCAUACGUGUGUAUGUAUACAUACACACGUACAAACGCACUAUUGAGACGUUUUGUUUUUUAUCAUAUAUUCUCAGGAAGGACUGAUGCAUGUACUGAGACGGGACGUGAGGGCCUACUCUGCGUGCUCAGAGUUCAAGCCCAGCAGGGUGCAGCGGGCCUGACAUAUUCCGGAACAGCAGCACAGUCUUUGGAUGACUCCUCUGAAGAUGAAAACAUGGCGAGUUCUUCUCAAGAGAAGCAGUACAGGUGUGCCUCAGCUCCACGGUCCCUCCUGCAGCCUCCGCUCCUGAUGCUAACCUCAUGUCUCCAUCACACCAAGCAGCAGACCUGGAGUGACAGACCUUUCUCCAGAGCUGCUCCCUCCCUCUGAAACCCCCCUCUCCAAAACACUAUUUGUGGCGUUUUUAAAGUCUUAUUUGCAUGAGAAUUGUUGAUCAUAACAUUUCCAGCAGAUGCCUUAAUGUAAUGUUUUUGAACAAUAAAUGACAUUUAUCAUAA